GACGAACCGAGCGAUCGUUAUUCGGAAUCACUGGGCUUAAAGGGCGCGUAGGCGGGCCGGCAAGUCCGGGGUGAAAGCCCCCAGCUCAACUGGGGAAGUGCCUCGGAUACUGUCGGCCUCGAGGGAGGUAGGGGCGUGCGGAACUUCCGGUGGAGCGGUGAAAUGCGUAGAUAUCGGAAGGAACACCGGUGGCGAAAGCGGCAUCCUGGACCAAUAUUGACGCUGAGGAGCGAAAGCCAGGGGAGCAAACGGG
rnacentral:rRNA from 1 species